UACGUAGGGGGCAAGCGUUGUCCGGAUUUAUUGGGCGUAAAGAGCUCGUAGGCGGUCUGUUGCGUCGGCUGUGAAAACCCGGGGCUCAACCCCGGGCCUGCAGCCGAUACGAGCAGACUAGAGUUCGGUAGGGGAGACUGGAACUCCUGGUGUAGCGGUGAAAUGCGCAGAUAUCAGGAGGAACACCGGUGGCGAAGGCGGGUCUCUGGGCCGAAACUGACGCUGAGGAGCGAAAGCGUGGGGAGCGAACAGG
rnacentral:rRNA from 1 species